GAAAUGUUGAGAAUACUGAUCGUGGUUCUGAUGAGUUCUCAAAUUUGGGUUCAGAUUCUCAAAGUGGAAGUGAUAGAUUAGUUCAUGCUCAAAUGCAGGCGGAGUUAGCAAAGAAAGAGGUAGAAAGUGAUAAGAAGGUGAGAAUGAAGAGUGCUAGAAAUGAGCAGAAAAAUUCAACAAAACUAAGAAGUGGAUCCAAUAGAGAAGGAAAUGAGGGUUUAGUUUCUAAUAAUGUGUCGAAAGAUGGAAACAGUCGCAUGGGCAUGCAGAAUAAGCUCAGGAAGAGCACAGAUCAGAGGAAGUUGUCUGUCCAUGCUGAAAAAUUUAAUUCAGCGGAAGCUGGGAAGUCUAGAGUAAAGAAUAAGGGUCAUAUCCCAGUUGAUAGUGACGGAAAGCAUGGAAGGUUUAAUCUGGUAGACAUGUUUGAUGAUUCAGAUUCUCCAGUGUUUGAAUUGAGUCUGCUAAACGAUGGGAGUUAUGAGCUUCAACCAGACAAUUAAGAGUUCUGAUGUAGACAAGCUCAAAUUUGGUAGAGAGAAUAUGUAAAUCAUCCUUGUUCAUAUAUAUACUUUUGCAUCUUUAACAGUUACUCGUUAGAUCCACAUCGGAAACUAAAAAGAACUUCGAGUUCAGCACGUGAAGUGUGAACUGGGGAUGUGAAGCUUUUGUA
rnacentral:misc_RNA from 1 species